rnacentral:rRNA from 1 species
UGGGGAAUUUUGGACAAUGGGCGAAAGCCUGAUCCAGCAAUGCCGCGUGUGUGAAGAAGGCCUUCGGGUUGUAAAGCACUUUUGUCCGGAAAGAAAUCCUUGGCUCUAAUACAGUCGGGGGAUGACGGUACCGGAAGAAUAAGCACCGGCUAACUACGUGCCAGCAGCCGCGGUAAUACGUAGGGUGCAAGCGUUAAUCGGAAUUACUGGGCGUAAAGCGUGCGCAGGCGGUUUGCUAAGACCGAUGUGAAAUCCCCGGGCUCAACCUGGGAACUGCAUUGGUGACUGGCAGGCUAGAGUAUGGCAGAGGGGGGUAGAAUUCCACGUGUAGCAGUGAAAUGCGUAGAGAUGUGGAGGAAUACCGAUGGCGAAGGCAGCCCCCUGGGCCAAUACUGACGCUCAUGCACGAAAGCGUGGGGGAGCAAACAGGAUUAGAUACCCUGGUAGUCCACGCCCUAAACGAUGUCAACUAGUUGUUGGGGAUUCAUUUCCUUAGUAACGUAGCUAACGCGUGAAGUUGACCGCCUGGGGAGUACGGUCGCAAGAUUAAAACUUAAAGGAAUUG